UACGUAGGGUGCGAGCGUUAAUCGGAAUUACUGGGCGUAAAGCGUGCGCAGGCGGUCCGCAAAGUCUGAUGUGAAAGCCCCGGGCUCAACCUGGGAACUGCAUUGGAAACUAACGGGCUCGAGUGUGGCAGAGGGGGGUGGAAUUCCACGUGUAGCAGUGAAAUGCGUAGAGAUGUGGAGGAACACCGAUGGCGAAGGCAGCCCCCUGGGCUAACACUGACGCUCAAGUGCGAAAGCGUGGGGAGCAAACAGG
rnacentral:rRNA from 1 species